AUAUUUUGUAACUGACGAUGAUGUUCGCAACAUCGAAACAUAUUUUGAAAAUAAUAAAUGUCGUAAUUUUCUUAAAGAUAACGAUUUGCUUUCUCCUGCCU